ensembl:lncRNA
UUCUUAAUUUUGUAAUUUUUAUUUAUUAUAAAUAUUUUGAAUACCAUUACAAAACGAAGGAUGAAAAUUUCUGGAAAUUUGUACAAUUUUUUUUAUCAAUACAUGAGGAAUCUUUCUAUUAUAGUUGGUUGAUAGCAGAGUACAAAACGAACGAAAUUACAAAAAAGAAAGCGAUUGGUAAGAAAAAUAAGCGUUCUUUAAAUGCCCUAAACGUGGAUGACCAUGUUGAUAUAGAAAGAGGGAAUCAUAUUAACGUAGCAAAUGAAAACCAUAAUGAUAAAAAUAUAGGAGAUGACAAUAAGAAACAGAUAUCCAGACCCGGAUUAAAACACAAACCUAAACGCAAACCCAGACCCAAGCCCAAAUGCGGAUUCAAACCCAAACCUAAUCUAAACGAAGUAGGCGAUAUAAUUGCAACCGACGAUAUUAGCAAAAAUUGUGCUUUAUUAAAGAGCAAAAACAUGAUAACACAAGACAAUAUGAAACGUGUAGUGGAUAGAAUUAAUUAUUAUCCAUUGGUUUUAGCUAACACACUAUAUAAAUAUACGCACAUACUUUUUUAUAAAAUUAUAAAUACUUUUAUAAAAGCAAAAAUGAACAUUUUGAAUGCGAAAAACUUACGUGAUAACAUAGUUUAUGAUAUCACUUAUUAUUUGAAACAUACAUUUAUAAGUACAAUAAAAAAAAAUAAUAAUAUUUAUAUUAAUGCGUUAAAUUAUAAGUACUCAUUUUAUGAUUUUAAUGAAAUGGAAACAAAUUUGAAAUUAUGUAUAUAUUUAAAAGAUGUCUAUUUAAAACAUGAUUUGUUCAGUAUUAAUAUAUUAGAAAUUUUAAAUAUAGAGAAUAGUAAAAAAAAAGUGAAAAAGGGUGAGAGGGGUAGUAACGGUUUUAGUAGAGCCAGCAGCAGUAGUGAUAGUAUCGAAGUUCAAGCGAAUUCACCAGAAAAUUGUUUAAUAAGAAAGGAGCUGGUUGGUGAGGGUGAAAGUAUUGAUAACGAAUAUAUUCACGUCAAUAAUGGAAGUAGUAGAAGUAGUAGCAUUGGUGGUAGUAGUAACAUUGAUAGUAGUAACAUUGAUAGUAGUAGCAUUGGUGGUACUAGUAUUAGCAGUAGCAGUACUAGUAUUAACAGUAGCAGUACUACUGGCAGUGAUAGAAGUGCUUAUGUAGCGCGUGGUAAAAAAGGAAGCAGGGUGAACAAUAAAACACGCUUAAAUGUACCAACCAAAAACUUUCCACAAAAUAAUGCAGGUAAAUUGUUAAGAAGUCAUAAGAAACGUGAUAUAAGAGUAGAAUCCAAUACAAUAGACAAAACAAAUAAAUUAGUUGAUGAUUAUUUUAAAAUUAAAAAGAAAAAAAAAAUUUCUAUAACAUAUUUUAAUAAUGUUUUAACAUAUUUUUUAAAAAACAAACUGUAUGAUUAUAAAAUAAGUAUUUUCGAUUAUUAUAAAUUUGAAAAAAAAUUAGUUGAUACUGUAUUUUUAUUUUUGGGCAAGCUCUUUGAUUUUUUUUUUAAUUCGCUUUUAUCUUUUCGAGACAGUCAAGAUUUUGACAGCAGUGGUAUUAAUGAGAAUUAUAGUUUUGGGAAACAAGCUAAUGUGAGUAAAGCUGGCGUAAGCUCAAGAAACAUGAUUAGCACACUAUUUUCAACUCGUUUUUCCAAUAAUAACUAUGAUAAGAACAAUAAGAAUUGUUAUAUGUAUAAACAGCUUAUGAUGUAUUUUAUAAUUUUUGCAAUGUGUCAUUAUGCUGAUAGUUUAAUAUUUGUUAGUAUGAAUUUUUUAAGUAUGGACAAGUUGACUGCAGAUUUGGUAGAAAAUGUGGGUAUAAGUGAGGAUAUUGGAAAUAGUUUGACGGAACAGAAAAAACAACAGCAUAAUAAUAAUAGUAAUAAUAAUGAUAGCCUACAAGAAGAAGAGCCAAAUGUAAUGUCCAUAAAUAAUAUAAAACCAUACAAUCAUUUGAAAUCACAAGAUUUAAUUCAUAACGGAAUAGGAAAGUGUAUAGAUUAUACAGUGUCAGCAUCCGUAGAAAAUAAAGAUUUAAGAAAAGAUUUUUAUUUACAGUCCAGUUUUUUAAGCACAAAGAAUUAUCAUAUUUUUCAAAAAAAAGUAGUUAACACAAUUCAUUGUAAUAAAGAAUGUUAUAAAGCAUUUAUCCCGAUAUAUAAAUUGUUAUUGACUAGAUUAAAAGUAUGCAUAUAUUAUCCUAGAUUUUUUUUUCUUGCAUUUUUAUUUAAUUUCUCAAAUUAUAACGUCAUCAAAUCUGAUAAGGUGUUAAAUUAUUUAAAAAAAAAUAACUGCUUAUAUUCAGCUAUUAAAUAUGUCGUCUAUAGUUAUGACGUUACAAAAACUAGUUCGUCAAAAAAAAGGGGUAAGGAUCAACCAAACGGUGUUACUUAUGUUGGAGAAAAUAGACCACACGUAGAAAAUAUACCUGACAAUAGAAAUAUACCAAUUGAGACAAAUACGAUAGAAAAUGUUGAUUAUGUAUUAAACGGUUCGUCGGGCGCGACAAACAGUAGUAACAUAAGCAACGGGGAUAGCAAUAAAGGUCACAGCGGGGAUAGCAAUAAAGGUCAUAGCAGGGAUAGCAGUAAAAGUUAUAACAAGGAAACAACGUCGCCUAAUGAAGAGCUAUACAACUUAGAGGUGGAAAUAAAUGGAGUCACAAUACGAUAUAAAGAUGUUAUAAGCGACAUAAUAAAAGGAUUAAUGUUUAUUGCAAACAAUAAGAACUGUAAGAACUACAAUUCUCAAGCUGCAUACUACAUAUGUUUUUAUUAUUUAAUAAAAGAAGAAUUCGAUAAAUGUUUUCAGUAUGUUAAUAUUUUUGCAUAUAAAGGAAUGUUUAAGGCUUGGCAAGUCGAACGGUCAAAC